rnacentral:rRNA from 1 species
UACGUAGGGGGCUAGCGUUGUCCGGAAUCAUUGGGCGUAAAGCGCGUGUAGGCGGUCCGGUAAGUCCGCUGUGAAAGUCGGGGGUCAACCCUCGGAUGCCGGUGGAGUACUGUCGGGCUUGAGUACGGAAGAGGCGAGUGGAAUUCCUGGUGUAGCGGUGAAAUGCGCAGAUAUCAGGAGGAACACCAAUUGCGAAGGCAGCUCGCUGGGACGUUACUGACGCUGAGACGCGAAAGCGUGGGGAGCAAACAGGAUUAAGAUAC